UACAGAGGUGGCAAGCGUUGUUCGGAAUUACUGGGCGUAAAGGGCGCGUAGGCGGUCCGAUAAGUCCCGUGUGAAAUCCCUCGGCUCAACUGAGGAAUGGCACGGGAAACUGACGGGCUUGAGUUCGGGAGAGGGAAGCGGAAUUCCGGGUGUAGCGGUGAAAUGCGUAGAUAUCAGAAGGAACAUCAGUGGCGAAAGCGACUUCCUGGACCAGAACUGACGAUCAGGCACGAAAGCGUGGGGAGCAAACAGG
rnacentral:rRNA from 1 species